rnacentral:rRNA from 1 species
AGAGCGAACGCUGGCGGCAGGCCUAACACAUGCAAGUCGAACGGACCCUUCGGGGUUAGUGGCGGACGGGUGAGUAACACGUGGGAACGUGCCUUUUGGUUCGGAAUAGCUCCUGGAAACGGGUGGUAAUGCCGAAUGUGCCCUUCGGGGGAAAGAUUUAUCGCCAUUAGAGCGGCCCGCGUCUGAUUAGCUAGUUGGUGAGGUAAAGCUCACCAAGGCUACGAUCAGUAGCUGGUCUGAGAGGAUGACCAGCCACAUUGGGACUGAGACACGGCCCAAACUCCUACGGGAGGCAGCAGUGGGGAAUCUUGCGCAAUGGGCGAAAGCCUGACGCCGCCAUGCCGCGUGAAUGAUGAAGGUCUUAGGAUUGUAAAAUUCUUUCACCGGGACGAUAAUGACGGUACCCGGAGAAGAAGCCCCGGCUAACUUCGCGCCAGCAGCCGC